ACGGAAGGCAGCAGUGGGGAAUAUUGCACAAUGGGGGAAACCCUGAUGCAGCGACGCCGCGUGAGUGAAGAAGUAUUUCGGUAUGUAAAGCUCUAUCAGCAAGGAAGAUAAUGACGGUACUUGACUAAGAAGCCCCGGCUAACUACGUGCCAGCAGCCGCGGUAAUACGUAGGGGGCAAGCGUUAUCCGGAUUUACUGGGUGUAAAGGGAGCGUAGACGGUUUGGCAAGUCUGAAGUGAAAGCCCGGGGCUCAACCCCGGUAUUGCUUUGGAAACUGUUGAACUAGAGUGCAGGAGGGGUAAGCGGAAUUCCUAGUGUAGCGGUGAAAUGCGUAGAUAUUAGGAGGAACAUCAGUGGCGAAGGCGGCUUACUGGGCUUUAACUGACGCUGAGGCUCGAAAGCGUGGGGAGCAAACAGGAUUAGAUACCCUGGUA
rnacentral:rRNA from 1 species